rnacentral:lncRNA from 1 species
AUAUCACUACCAGCUCUGUAAGCACCCUUGUGGUUCUUACCAUAAUUCUAACAAAGGGGAUUAGUUCGGGUAUUGCUAACACUGUCAACACUAUUCUGAGAACUAGAGCCUAACACUCUAUCUCCGUUACCCUUCCUUAACUCAGAAACUAGAGCAUUAGAUAAAGAAGGGGCUGGAACUGAUGACUUAGGAUGAAACUGGGAAUGGUUUCCUCCUCUGAUUUAGGCUGAGAGAAUUUGAAACUACCUGUCUUGGCUCUCUUAUUUUGCUUCU